GCCGUGGUAGGCAGUUCACCUAGGAGAGCAAACUCCAAACAACAAACCCGGGCAGGUGGAGGUCGUUAGCCGUGGUAGGCAGUUCACCUAGGAGAGCAAACUCCAAACAACAAACCCGGGCAGGUGGAGCUCGUUAGCCGUGGUAGGCAGUUCACCUAGGAGAGCAAACUCCGAACAACAAACCCGGGCAGGUGGAGGUCGUUAGCCGUGGUAGGCAGUUCACCUAGGAGAGCAAACUCUAAACAAACCCGGGCAGGUGGAGCUCGUUAGCCGUGGUAGGCAGUUCACCUAGGAGAGCAAACUCUAAACAAACCCGGGCAGGUGGAGCUCGUUAGCCGUGGUAGGCAGUUCACCUAGGAGAGCAAACUCUAAACAAACCCGGGCAGGUGGAGCUCGUUAGCCGUGGUAGGCAGUUCACCUAGGAGAGCAAACUCCGAACAACAAACCCGGGCAGGUGGAGCUCGUUAGCCGUGGUAGGCAGUUCACCUAGGAGAGCAAACUCUAAACAAACCCGGGCAGGUGGAGCUCGUUAGCCGUGGUAGGCAGUUCACCUAGGAGAGCAAACUCCGAACAACAAACCCGGGCAGGUGGAGGUCGUUAGCCGUGGUAGGCAGUUCACCUAGGAGAGCAAACUCCGAACAACAAACCCGGGCAGGUGGAGGUCGUUAGCCGUGGUAGGCAGUUCACCUAGGAGAGCAAACUCCGAACAACAAACCCGGGCAGGUGGAGGUCGUUAGCCGUGGUAGGCAGUUCACCUAGGAGAGCAAACUCCGAACAACAAACCCGGGCAGGUGGAGCUCGUUAGCCGUGGUAGGCAGUUCACCUAGGAGAGCAAACUCUAAACAAACCCGGGCAGGUGGAGCUCGUUAGCCGUGGUAGGCAGUUCACCUAGGAGAGCAAACUCCGAACAACAAACCCGGGCAGGUGGAGCUCGUUAGCCGUGGUAGGCAGUUCACCUAGGAGAGCAAACUCCGAACAACAAACCCGGGCAGGUGGAGGUCGUUAGCCGUGGUAGGCAGUUCACCUAGGAGAGCAAACUCCGAACAACAAACCCGGGCAGGUGGAGCUCGUUAGCCGUGGUAGGCAGUUCACCUAGGAGAGCAAACUCCGAACAACAAACCCGGGCAGGUGGAGCUCGUUAGCCGUGGUAGGCAGUUCGCCUAGGAGAGCAAACUCCGAACAACAAACCCGGGUUUGUGGUGCCCGUUAGAUGUCGUAGACAAUCCACGUGAUGGGAACACCAAAGAAAAUGAAAAUGAAAAAGAACACCAGAAAAAGGAAAAUAUAGAAACGAAACAUCGAGAAAAGAAAAAGCAAACACACAUCAUCCACUUUUCGGCCCUAACUAACAUCGACAAAAUUCUGGGUGAGUCUUUUCUGGGGAGAAAAAGGCUCAUCCAGACCAAAGAACAUCAACAAAAGGAUGAUAUAGAAAAGA